rnacentral:rRNA from 1 species
UACGUAGGUGGCAAGCGUUGUCCGGAAUUAUUGGGCGUAAAGAGCUCGUAGGCGGUUUGUCGCGUCUGCUGUGAAAUCCCGAGGCUCAACCUCGGGUCUGCAGUGGGUACGGGCAGACUAGAGUGCGGUAGGGGAGACUGGAAUUCCUGGUGUAGCGGUGAAAUGCGCAGAUAUCAGGAGGAACACCGGUGGCGAAGGCGGGUCUCUGGGCCGUAACUGACGCUGAGGAGCGAAAGCAUGGGGAGCGAACAGG